UCUCCCUUCUUUUCCUCUCUAACUUAACUAAAACUGCCUUUGCCCACACCCUGGACUCCAGCCCUGCCAGUCGUGGUGGAUGGAUCCCACAAGUCUCCCAGACUUCUGUGUUGACACCAAAGUCUGUGUCCAGAGAUCCCCUACAGGACCAGAACCAGAAGCACUGGUCCAGCAGCUGCGUGUGGCUACUUCUUUUUGUUUCAUUUCAAAAACAUGAGUAUUCCCAUGGCAUUCAACACAGCAUCUGCCCCUGAACUUCAAGUGCAAACAAAGAAUUAAAGUCCCUAAAAGGCCACCUGCCUGUUCAAGGGGACACAGAUACCUUGUACAAAAGGCAUGAAGCACUUAUUUAACCUCAAACCCAUUCCUAGGAGCAGGAUUAACACCAAACUAAGAAUCAAGAAAAAAGCCUCAAACUGUAAUGGGGUCAAAUGGAACCGCAAGGGCUGCUUUAAUGGGAAGGGCAGUAAAUGAAAAAUGUGGCCUUUAACAAGGUACCAUGGGUAAGACAGAAGGACAAAAUAAAGGCACCAGCAUCACUGACUGCUGCUGGAAAAUUGCCUUUUUGCUUCAGUGCUCUGUACAAACCACAGUAUCUGUCCCAGGGCGGCAGAUGUAAUUUGCUACGAAAGCAGACAUGAAUAUGCUUAAAUAAUUCAGGGCGAAAAUCUAAAGAAUAUGGGCUGCCUUGGGUACUUCCUGACAUUCAUCUUCAAGACACGAAAGAGGCCAAACAACUCGUGACUGGUGUAGUUGGCCUUAUCAAAUCUCUCUCUCCCCUCACACAGAUGAACGUCACAGCAGAUCCAGCCCGCCGUGCGUUAUCCCGCUCCUGCCAGCCAGGAAAGGCUGUCACAUCCCUGCUAAAAUCCAUUUCUGCCAGCUGAAUCUAUGAACCUGCUCUGGGGGAAGCCUGACACACCAGCUUCUGCCUUGGAGCAACUCUAUUAAAGAUCCUUCUGAGGUUGCUAGAAUUGUAAUCCUGCAGGAACUUGGGGAUCUUUUUAUCUCAAUACACUGCCAAGCAGCUCCACUGCUGAACUUCAUUUAAGCAAAUGCAACUGAGCCUAACUUCUGUAAAACACCUUAAUGAUUCCAUGAAAAACUCUGCUGCUUGAUGCCCUGAGGACAACCACAGCACUCCUGAAGAUGCACUCACUCCCUAGAGUCAGGUGCUGCUGUGCUGGUGACAGCUCUGCAGAGGCAACUGAUGAAGGUUUGAAGUGGGUUUCACUCAAGAGGAUCAAAACAGGCAUUGAAGCACAGAAAAAGCAGAUGGAGGAGAAGCAAGUUUUUAACAUGCAAAAGCAGAAAAAUCAUCACAGAACCACAGAAUGGGUUAGAAAGGACCUUAAACACAAUCUCCACACCCUACCAUAGGCAGGGACACCUUCCCCUAAAAUGUCAAGGCUGAAAUGGCAACACAAAAAUCUGAAGAGCAGCACUUGGCCCACAGAGAGCAAACCUCCUCCAGAUGAACAGAUGAACUCCCCACAUUUUUAAGACAUAAGAGCCACUCUUGAAGCUCUGAAGCAGUCCCUGGUUCAAGGUCAGAUGGCAGGAGGAUCCAAGUUAAACAGUUUCCAGAGCCUGCAGGAAGCCCCCAAAGGAAUGCAAUUGUCUCAUCAGAAGGAUCCUAUAGAACUGUGAUUCAAAAUGUAAAAGAGCUCCCCAAAGGGACUCCAGGUACCCCUGCUGCCCUGGUCUCACCUGACCAGCCACGUUCUGCCAUCACUGACAGAGCUCUUCCAGCUGACCAAACGUGCUGAAAUCACAGCAAAGCCAAAGGGCCACAGCAGUGCUGCAAAAAAAUCACCUUUUCUCCAUCUCUCCCCACUCCCUACCUUAGAAUUAUUUGUCCCUGGCAGAGAUGUAGUGAGGGUGACACUUGAGGAACUGAUGGCACAGAACAACAUCUUAUUUCCCCACACCUGACAAAUGCACCAAGAAACCAGGGCCAAAAGCAGAGGUCAGCAUGUCUGCAGGACUGCAGAAGUCAGCCAUGCUCAUCUUACCCAUAUCUAAAGUUCUGAUGCAGAAAAGUGCUGUUUAGAGGGUUUCUGACACAGACUGAGGCACUCCAAGGGUUAAUGUCACCAGUCUGUCACACAGGAAGUGUGAACAGGGGAAAGGGCUCAUCUCAAAUACCAUGGGGGGAAGAAGGGCCCACUGAGAGCAGCAGGAAGAGGCACAGUUAGUGCUGAGCUGAUAACUCAUCCAGCCUGGACUAAAUAGAUGAUGUUUUGUGAGUUCCAGGCACCCUCCCAGGAACACUGAUGCAGCUUCUUGGUAUGAAUCCAAGGGAGUUAUCUCUCAGUCAUUCUGCCUCCUUGUUAAAUGUAGGAAGAAAAAUGUCCUUUAUUAUCAAUUCCCAAUUGUUCUCCAACUGAAUUACCUGUGAGGAGGUGAGGUUAUUUUAGAAAAUAAAAGCAGUGGAGUCCUGUAUUUUUAGCUCCAUGAACCUGCCUUGUAAGAAUCUGGACUGUUGCUGAUGCUUUCCAGUGUGAGGAGUUCGUGCCUUUUGGUUGAUGCAUCCACCUGAAGCCUGGAAAAGACUGUAACUAAUUAAAGUUACAAAGUGGGAUGUUUAUUGACAGCGCCAGACACAUGGGGAGUAGCCUCCCAAAGAUGUGUGCAAAAUUCACAGAGCUCCUGCUCUCUAUUUAUUCUUAAAAAAAUCUUCCAUAUUCAUAGAAUCACCCAAUACACCUCUACACAUGUGUUACCUGACCCUGCCUGCCCCGCUGCGUAUUAAAACGAGUUUAAAGUCCUUUCACACCUGAGCAGUCCUUUGCUCAAAAUGGGUCGAUGGAUUUUGGAAUGAGUCUGUUAUCUCCUAAAAUGAAGUCAGGGAUGUUGACCAUGAGUCCUCUCUGUGGUAAACUUAGUACUUUUGUCUUGUUGGCAGGCUCUCUGGUCCCUUGACCAUAGCCCAAGCUCCCCAGCCUGGUUCUGGCUGGGUUUGGGGUCCAGUUGUGGUUUCUUUAUCUUUACAAUGCCCUAUCCUCCCAUCCUGCUUCUACAAAUACAACAAAGUCAAGCAAAUGAUAUAUUGUCUUAGCUUUACUUAGCUCCAUCUGCUAAUAACUAGCGCUUUUACAUUGCUUCUACUCUUCUUGCUAAACUCUUAAUCAUUAUAUAUUGCUUCUACCCUUCUAGCUAAACUCAUAAUUCUUUUAGACCCUUGAUUCACACCCAAAGAUAAGGGAGGAGGGCGGGACACAAGGAAGGACAGAAUGACAGUGAGCAGACUGAACCUCAUCCUGGGGCUUUAUCCAGAUGUGGCAACAAAAACCACAAAGCUGCACAACUUCCCAAGUCUGACUUAACUGCAGGUAACGCCUGCCAGCUUCAGCGUGCCCAG